GAUGAAGAACGCAGCGAAAUGCGAUAAGUAAUGUGAAUUGCAGAAUUCAGUGAAUCAUCGAAUCUUUGAACGCACAUUGCGCCCGCUAGUAUUCUGGCGGGCAUGCCUGUCCGAGCGUCAUUUCAACCCCCAAGCCCCCGGGCUUGGUGUUGGGGAUCGGCGAGCCUCCGCGCCCGCCGUCCCCUAAAUCUAGUGGCGGUCUCGCUGUAGCUUCCUCUGCGUAGUAGCACACCUCGCACUGGGAAACAGCGCGGCCACGCCGUUAAACCCCCAACUUCUGAACGUUUGACCUCGGAUCAGGUAGGAAUACCCGCUGAACUUAAGCAUAUCAAUAAGCGGAGGA
rnacentral:misc_RNA from 1 species